rnacentral:misc_RNA from 1 species
GCGAGGAGGCCAGGUAGCGAUCAUAGUAGGCCGUGUCACCGUUGAACGGGAUGGCGGUGCCACCCACGUACGCCACGCGAAGCGGUUUGCCGUUAUCCCGCACUUCAAACAGAUAGGAGAGUGUGCCAGGCGUGUGGCCGGGCAUGGUGACGACUCGCAGCGACGCAUCGCCAACGGCGAUCCUCAACCCAUCGUCGCCCACGACGUCGCGCUUCGGCUUUCCGCCCAUGUGAUCGGCCGCCUUUUCGAUCGCAUCCCAAUCUUCCAAGCCAUAGACCAAGUGGACU